rnacentral:rRNA from 1 species
UACGUAGGGUGCAAGCGUUAAUCGGAAUUACUGGGCGUAAAGCGUGCGCAGGCGGUUGUGCAAGACAGAUGUGAAAUCCCCGGGCUCAACCUGGGAAUUGCAUUUGUGACUGCACGGCUAGAGUGUGUCAGAGGGGGGUAGAAUUCCACGUGUAGCAGUGAAAUGCGUAGAGAUGUGGAGGAAUACCGAUGGCGAAGGCAGCCCCCCUGGGAUAACACUGACGCUCAUGCACGAAAGCGUGGGGGAG